rnacentral:rRNA from 1 species
UCCAGACUCCUACGGGAGGCAGCAGUGAGGAAUAUUGGUCAAUGGGCGCGAGCCUGAACCAGCCAAGUCGCGUGAGGGAGGACGGCCCUACGGGUUGUAAACCUCUUUUGCCGGGGACGAAGAAAGUGACGGUACCUGAGGAAUAAGCCACGGCUAACUACGUGCCAGCAGCCGCGGUAAUACGUAGGUGGCAAGCGUUAUCCGGAUUUAUUGGGUGUAAAGGGCGUGUAGGCGGGAGCGCAAGUCAGAUGUGAAAACUCAGGGCUCAACCCUGAGCCUGCAUUUGAAACUGUGUUUCUUGAGUGCUGGAGAGGCAAUCGGAAUUCCGUGUGUAGCGGUGAAAUGCGUAGAUAUACGGAGGAACACCAGUGGCGAAGGCGGAUUGCUGGACAGUAACUGACGCUGAGGCGCGAAAGCGUGGGGAGCAAACAGGAUUAGAUACCCCCGUAUU